UACGUAGGCAGCAAGCGUUGUUCGGAGUUACUGGGCGUAAAGGGUGCGUAGGCGGCUUUUUAAGUUUGGUGUGAAAUCUCCCGGCUCAACUGGGAGGGUGCGCCGAAUACUGAGAGGCUAGAGUGUGGGAGAGGAAAGUGGGAAUUCCUGGUGUAGCGGUGAAAUGCGUAGAUAUCGGGAGGAACACCUGUGGCGAAAGCGGCUCACUGGACCAUAACUGACGCUGAUGCACGAAAGCUGGGGGGAGCAAACAGG
rnacentral:rRNA from 1 species